CAGUAGCCGCGGUAAUACGAGGGGGGCAAGCGUUGUUCGGAAUUAUUGGGCGUAAAGGGUGCGUAGGCGGCUUGACAAGUCUUGUGUGAAAUCUAUGGGCUCAACCCAUAGUCUGCACGGGAAACUGUCGGGCUUGAGAAUGGGAGAGGUGAGUGGAAUUUCCGGUGUAGCGGUGAAAUGCGUAGAUAUCGGAAGGAACGCCAGUGGCGAAAGCGGCUCACUGGACAAUAACUGACGCUGAUGCACGAAAGCUAGGGGAGCAAACAGGAUUAGAUACCCCCGUAGUCCCUGUCUCUUAUAC
rnacentral:rRNA from 1 species